GGAAUUUUUGCCAAGCAGGAAAAGAACUCAGGGCUGAAGACAUUAUGGAGAAAGACUGGAAUAAUCAUAAGAAAGGAAAAGACUGUUCCAAGCUUGGGAAAAAGUGUAUUUAUCAGCAGUUAGUGAGAGGAAGAAAAAUCAGAAGAAGUUCAGAGGAACACCUAAGACAAACCAGGUCGGAGACCAUGAGAAACAGCGUCAAAUCAUCUUUUCAUGAUCCCAAGCUGAAAGGCAAGCCCUCCAGAGAGCGUUAUGUGACCCACAACCGAGCACAUUGGUGACAGACCUUCGGGGCCUGUCUGAAGCCAUAGCCUCCACGGAGAGCCCUGUGGCCGACUCUGCACUCUCCACCCUGGCUGGGAUCAGAGCAGGAGCAUCCUCUGCUGGUUCCUGACUGGCAAAGGACCAGCGUCCUCGUUCAAAACAUUCCAAGAAAGGUUAAGGAGUUCCCCCAACCAUCUUCACUGGCUUCCAUCAGUGGUAACUGCUUUGGUCUCUUCUUUCAUCUGGGGAUGACAAUGGACCUCUCAGCAGAAACACACAGUCACAUUCGAAUUCGGGUGGCAUCCUCCGGAGAGAGAGAGAGGAAGGAGAUUCCACACAGGGGUGGAGUUUCUGACGAAGGUCCUAAGGGAGUGUUUGUGUCUGACUCAGGCGCCUGGCACAUUUCAGGGAGAAACUCCAAAGUCCACACAAAGAUUUUCUAAGGAAUGCACAAAUUGAAAACACACUCAAAAGACAAACAUGCAAG
rnacentral:lncRNA from 1 species